CCGCCAUUGUGGUCGAUGCAUUUGCUAGAUGUUGUUUGCCGCCAUUCUGAAAAUCGUCCCUGUUAGAGACUGUUGUGCAGAUAUUGCGUUGGAUCUUAAAACAUUCUGAAUUCUUCUUGUCAGAUUUGAUUAUCCGAUUUUUGAGAAAAUAGAAAAAAAUCUAAGGGCAUCGUCUGUGGGGAACGCUUUAAAAAUUUUGAUAAAUUCGUCCUUCAGGUUACAGGAAAAGAUGUACCUCAAUACACAACGCCAUUCGCAGAAGCCUGCCUGUGCCAUCUACUACUUCAAAGCUUUCAAAAUUCUGGCUACAUAAAACCAACAAGUGUUCAGAAAGCUUCAGUUACAGGUAUUCUUGGCAAAAGAUAUUUAAUUGCUCGUGCUGUCACGGGCUCUGGCAAAACAGUGAUCCAAUUAAUUAAGGCUUACUAAUUUUGAAACCUGGAUGCCCUCAUACUGACUUGAUUCAAAGGGGUUGGAGUGAACUGGGUAAGUUGAAGUAAAAGUAGUUUUGAGUGGGCACGCUGGUAAUUGCGACUACUUAAAGGUCCAAUUGCAUCUAAGGUAUUCAGCAAACCUUUUGUGAUAUUUGUUGAUCAAGUCAUCUAAAAUUUAACAAUUUUUCAUGCGGGUGGCGUACUUGGAACGGUUUUGAACAUUGUUAUUGGCAAUUUACUUAGUUUAUUGGCAUUUUACUUAGUAUUGAAAUUAAAUCAACUUUAAAUGGACAACUUGAUGGCCAAAAGAUAAAUAAA